rnacentral:rRNA from 1 species
UACGUAUGGUGCAAGCGUUAUCCGGAAUGACUGGGUGUAAAGGGAGCGUAGACGGCUGUACAAGUCUGAUGUGAAAGCCCACGGCUCAACUGUGGGAGUGCAUUGGAAACUGUAGAACUAGAGUAUCGGAGAGGCAAGUGGAAUUCCUAGUGUAGCGGUGAAAUGCGUAGAUAUUAGGAGGAACACCAGUGGCGAAGGCGGCUUGCUGGACGAAAACUGACGUUGAGGCUCGAAAGCGUGGGGAGCAAACAGG